GAUCCCUACUGUAUGAACAGAAAGCAGGGAGGUGGAAGGGAAGCUGAUGUAUUCUGAUUUGCUUGCUUUCCUCAGGACGGGUGCUGGACGGUGUCUUUAACCAUGCAGGGGCUGGACACUUCCACUUGCUGGGCAGUGCCCUGGUCAACCUCUCUUCUUGCGUGCUGCUGGACCGCUUCCGGGCCAUGGAGUCAGAGGACACCCUGGAAUCAGAAGCACACAAACUUAUGCAGCAGAACAAGUUCUUAGCCAGUAUCAUAUUCAACAGUUCCUCCAUUGGCAAGAGCUUCAGAUCAGCGUCUCUCAAAUUGCUACCCCACGUCACAUACACAAUACGCACCAGCAUCUUAUACAGCAUGAGGACAGAUCUGAUAAAAAACCCUUCUUGGAAGUUCCAUCCUCAGAGCCUGCCGGCCGACGGGUUCAAAUAUAACUACAUCUUUGUCCCGCUGCAAGACAUGAUUGAAAGAGCCAUUGUUGCGGUCCAGACUGGGCAGGAAGUCUUGGAGCCCACUACGCAGGCGCAGGCAGCCCCCUACCCGUGCCACACCAGCGACCUGUGAGUAGCCAUGGCCGUAGUCAUCCCAGAGUACUUUUUAAAAAAAUCCAUUGUAUUUU
rnacentral:lncRNA from 1 species